rnacentral:lncRNA from 1 species
AGAGCAGCUGGACAUGGGGGAGCUUGCAGCGUCAGCAAAUCAUGGACACUCACCCUGCUACCCAGAGAGAAAAGGGACCCCUGGAGACUUGAGCAAAAGAAAAAUGCUGGUACAUUUUUACCCCAGGAGGCACAGCCACCCCAGAGCCACACAGCAAUGGAUACUUAAGAAUAAGACUCUCUGCAGGAGGAUCAAGGAGUAAUAAAAAGAGCAGAAUAUCUGCAGCUGCCAAGACCUCGGCUCUAAUUCUAGAUUUGCAGCCCAUGGCUGCACAAUAGGCACAAGAAUGAACCAACGUCACCACCAAGGAAAGUGGCACAGCUGAGCUGCACCCACGUCUGACUCCAAGGGACCAGCUAUUGACAGCUAUUCACCAUUUGGUUUCUGUGUGUCCCAGUCCUCACGUGGAAAAUGGGCAAAUAUUAUCUGCUUCAUCGGUAUUCCUGGGAACCUAGAGGAAGCACUAGCCAAUAUCAUUCACUUAGCAUACCGGAGUUAUCUUUCCAUUUUCUUAAUUCAAGAACCUUGCUCUUUUUGCCAAUUAUCUUAGUAGUUUUUCAGUGACCUCUCAGUAAAAGCAAUGUAUUUUGUAGCCUUGUCUUUCACAGAAAUCGCCUUAUAAAUUGUUUGAUAUACAAUUAAACAAAAACUUUAUUUCUGCAUUGCUCAAAGAAAAAAAAAAAAAAA